rnacentral:sRNA from 1 species
CCCCAUAAAUGAAGGGAAUAAGUGGAGUUUAUCCCCGAAGAGAAGGCUACGCAGUUUUGGCCUGCGUUUGACUUGUAGAGCACAGUAAGUCACUCUUCGCCGUCGCCCACUACUAACCCUUCCUUUGUGUUCUAAUACCGAGUACUUUCAAAAUGAUGAAAACCGUUCCUUGCCCUCCUCUGUUAUUAUUUGAUGAGAAACAAUUAGGAGAUAAUCUAAAUCCCUGAAUAGCUUUACGUUACGCUCUUCUCGCAUAUGUCAUUCCAACUUUUUGUGACUCUGGUGCUAAUCAUGUUUUGGUUCAAUGUUCGAGCAUCCGGCGGUUGGGUGCUUCUUCCUUGAGACAUCUCACUACUCAUGGUGCAAUCCUCUAUGCUUUCAUUUGUAUAAAUAUUUUAUCAUUUUGGAGAAUCGCGUAAGAAUCUGCCAGCUGCAUUCAAUCCAUCCAUUCUCAGGAAGCGCCUGCCUGCCAUUUUCCCAUCAGCGACUUAUCCGCUACGUAUCUGACAAUGUCUAUCAGCGAAUGCUGCUCCGGCACCUGAUGGAAGUAGAUUUUGACAAGG